rnacentral:rRNA from 1 species
UACGAAGGGGGCUAGCGUUGCUCGGAAUCACUGGGCGUAAAGGGUGCGUAGGCGGGUUAUUAAGUCAGUGGUGAAAGCCCGGAGCUCAACUCCGGAACUGCCAUUGAAACUGUUAGACUUGAGGACGAGAGAGGUGAGUGGAAUUCCCAGUGUAGAGGUGAAAUUCGUAGAUAUUGGGAAGAACACCGGUGGCGAAGGCGGCUCACUGGCUCGUAUCUGACGCUCAGGCGCGACAGCGUGGGGAUCAAACAGG